rnacentral:lncRNA from 1 species
GGAGUGAGAACCAUCCCUGCAGCCCCCCAGGUGAGGACAGCAGGAGGGCAGGAGGUGCUCCAGGCAGGCAGCAGCAGUUCCCCUGCGGGCUGUGCAGGGAGAGGCCCCUGGUGGAGCAGGCUGUCCCCCUGCAGCCCAUGGGUCCCACAUGGAGCAGAUCUCCACGCUGCGGCCCCCCCCGUGGGUGGAGGAGCCCCCGGUGGAGCAGGUGGAUGUGGCCUGGAGGAGGCUGCGGCCCAUGGAGAGCACCCUCAUCUCUGCUGGGACCUCAGAGGUACAUCCACCACACCUCAAGUGACCUGCUGGUACCCAGCACAGAAAUCGAGCUGGAGAAGUGUCUGUUGCUUGUGGUGUCUCCAUGCUGGGUGCUGGGUGCAAUCCUUUUCAGCAAAUGGAGAGACAGAGCAUGCAGUUGAAGGCAGUGAUGAGCAUUGUGUGUCCUGCAGAUAUUAUUCCCUGCUGUUCAUGGAAGAUUGGCACCCUCACUUCCACAGUGCUCCCCUCCUCCACCACCAUCACUUCAUACGUGUGUGCUCUGUGCAGGACCCUUCCCAGCGCAUCUCUGAUCUCUUUCAAGUGACCCCAGCAGAAAAGGCCCUUGCCUCACACGGCUCUCAGCGCCCUACAGGACACUGACCAAACUGAGCCACCGCACACUCCUGGCCGCUCCUUCCCAACACGCUGCCGGACAUUUGUCCACACUCUCCAGGACAGGUAACAUCAGCCCGACCCACACCCUGCCACGCUCCCAUAGCAAGCAGCCAGGUGACACGCUCAGGCCAGGAUGGCAGGGACAGCUCCAUCAGGAAGACAGGACACGGACAGCCUCGGUGCGACGCUAGAGACCCUCGGGCAGAGAGGCAGGGGCUGCCCGUGGUCACAGGGGGAUGCUGCUCCGUGUGUUCCUUCUCUCAUUAAAGCCAGACUCAGACAGCAAUGGGACCAGAUCACAGCAGACUCCUGCGCUCUCCCCAAGGACUACUCUGCUGGAAGGAAGAGCUGCCAAC